GACAGAGGGUGCAAACGUUGUUCGGAAUUACUGGGUGUAAAGCGAGUGUAGGCGGUUCGGUAAGUCGGAUGUGAAAGCCCCGGGCUCAACCCGGGAAGUGCACUCGAUACUGCCGAGCUAGAGUGUCGGAGAGGUUGGUGGAAUUCUCGGUGUAGAGGUGAAAUUCGUAGAUAUCGAGAGGAACACCGGUGGCGAAGGCGGCCAACUGGACGAACACUGACGCUGAGACUCGAAAGCGUGGGGAGCAAACAGG
rnacentral:rRNA from 1 species